rnacentral:rRNA from 1 species
AGGGUUUGAUUAUGGCUCAGGAUGAACGCUGGCGGCGUGCUUAACACAUGCAAGUCGAGCGAAGCACUUAAGUUUGAUUCUUCGGAUGAAGACUUUUGUGACUGAGCGGCGGACGGGUGAGUAACGCGUGGGUAACCUGCCUCAUACAGGGGGAUAACAGUUAGAAAUGACUGCUAAUACCGCAUAAGACCACAGGGUCGCAUGACCCGGUGGUAAAAACUCCGGUGGUAUGAGAUGGACCCGCGUCUGAUUAGCUAGUUGGUGGGGUAACGGCUCACCAAGGCGACGAUCAGUAGCCGACCUGAGAGGGUGACCGGCCACAUUGGGACUGAGACACGGCCCAA